AGAGGCUGGUGAGAGGCGUUGGGCCAGUGACAUGCAAGCACACAAUUGCACACACAGCCAUGGGGGUCAGUCGUUGGGAUCUAGGCUGGCAUCUUCCACUCCUGUAGCUGCAGAGGCUUAAACUGGCUACUGAUGUGGCUCUCAUACUCCGUUGGGGGCCAAGGAGAGAAAGGGGGCAGGAGUUAGAUGGCUGGCUUCAACAAACAUGAAUCCCUGUGCGACCAAAGCUGGUAAAUUUGCAGGGGUUCUGUAGCAGCUGUGCUGGCUGUUGAUCACUUCUUCAGUGGCUACAGCUGUUUGGUUUGUAGAGGAGGUCACUGUGAACUGUGAUAGCUCCCACAGUGCCCCUGCUUUUCUUCCUUGCUCCUAACCAGGUCUACGUCUCUCAGCUUUGCUGGUUUGGAUGGUAUGAAACUGAAAUGAGAACUUCAUUUGCUGCCCUGGAAGGCUGGAAAAGCUGGUUGCUCGCCCCACUCUUUCUUCCUUGCCAUCCUUGUGAGCGUGAAGUGGUAUCUCAUUGUGGUUUUGGUUUGCGCUUCCCCAACAAUUGGAUAUAGAAGAUUAGCCCUGAGCAAACAUCUGCUGCCAAUCCUCCUCUUUUUGCUGAGAAAGACUGGCUCUGAGCUAACAUCCGUGCCCAUCUUCCUCUACUUUAUGUGGAAUGCCUGCCACAGCAUGGCUCAACGGGCGGUCUGUAGGUUCACAACCGGGAUUCAAACCAGCGUACCCUGGGCUGCCGAAGCAGAACGUGCAAACUUAACCACUGUGCCACCAGACGAUCCCAACCCUCCUGCUUUUUUUUGGGUUUAAAUUUCAUCUAUUUUUCUAAUUCUUGAAAUGGAUGCUUAGAUAAUUGAUUUUCAGCAUUUUUCCUUUCUUAUAUACAUUUAAAGAUAUGACUAUCCAUUAAAGCAUGGUUUAACUGCAACUUACAAUUUUCAAAGUAUAAUAUUUUAAUAAUUAUUAGUUCACAUAUUUUCUGUUAUGAUAUUUUCUUUAACAUAUACUUGACUUAUAGUGCAUUUCUUAAUUUCUCUUUAUUUCUUAAUAUGUAUUAAUUUCCAAAUAUGUGGUGAUCUUUAGUUAUCUAUCUCUUGUUAAUUUCUCACUUAAUUGCACUGUGGUACUGGACAUAUUAUAUACCAUAUCAAUCUUUUGAAAGUUUUUGAUAUUUCAUAGCAUAGCUUAUAAUCAAUUUUUUGCAAAUGUUUUAUACACAGUUGACAGUAAUAUGUAUUCUAUAGCUAUUGAGUGCAAUCUAGUAUGUCAUAUUUGUUAAUUGCAUUGUUCCAAUCUUGUAUCUUUUAUAUUUUUCAUCUACUUAAUCUAUCAGUUAAUGAGAAAAGUUGUUAAAAUGCUCAGUGUGAUUGUCGAUUUGUCUAUUUCUCCUUAGAGUUCUAUCACUUUUAGCUUUAUAUAUUUUGAGGAUUUGUAAUCAGGUGCAUACACAUUUAAAAUUUUUAUCUUCCUAGGGAAUUAAAUCAUUGUGAAAGUUUCCUCUUAAUCCAGAGUAAUGGUUUCUACAUUUUGUCUACUUUGUCUGAUAUUAAUAUAGUUACAACCACUUUCUUUUGGCUAAUGUUUGUGUUGUGUAUUUAUUUUGCAUCCCUUUAUUAUAAACCUUUUAAUCCUGUUUCAGUUAUCCAUCCAUGAGUAACAAACCACCCCAAACCUUAGUGACUUAAAAACAGCAAUGUGUUCUCUCUCUUGGUUCUGUGGUUGAUUUGGCUCAGCUCAGCAGUUUUCAUUUAGGAGGGGAUCGCUCAUGUAGCUGCAGACUUACGGUAGCAGUUGCUGGAAUCAUGUGAGGGCUUGAUUUGGCUGGAUAGCCAAUCAAUUUUUUCGUGAAUUAUCUCCAGAUACAGACGAGACUUGUUGAGUACAUUACUUGGAUACAGUUCCUUUCAAUCUAUAUUUCUAAAGGCAUGGUAAUUUUAGAAUAUUUGUACUUCUUUCAGGAUGACCAUCUUUCCCCAGAGCACAUUUGCCAAGAAAUUAAGUUGGAUGAUACAAGGCUUAUUUUGACUUACCCUUGAAAGUCACAAAGUACCACUUACAUUAAAUUGUAUUGGUCCAAAGCAAGCCACGAAUCCAUCCCAGAUUCAAGAGGAGGAGAUUACAAAAGAGCAUGAAUAUAAGGAGGUCUCAAACCACCACCAUUGUGUGUGCAAAGCGCCUUAUUCCCAGGAAGCCCAAAGACUGCUCCCGGUCCAGGUCUCUUGUAGUGAGCGGGUCAUAGAGACACACUACAUUUGUGGGAUCAGAUUCAACUGUCAAAGAGGAACCUGCCUGGCUCCACCAAAACCAAGUACAAAUCGCAGGAUUCCUCUUCGAUGGCUGAGUCCACAGCAUCUGCCGAAUCCUCUCUCUAUGGCUUGCCACUUGGUCCUAAGGGCUUGUUGGUCUUCACCAGAAGCAGCUUCCAAAUUGCUUCAACCUCAGAGACCAGCAAUUGUGGCCUCGUCAGCCUGCCAGAUCCUGUUGUUGCUCACCUAUGUGCAAAGCAAAGAACUUUCAAGAAGGUCAGAGAAUUCCCCGACAUCAGUUUUUGGAUUCCUUGUUCCUCCCUUGAAUGUGAAUACAGUAAAAU
ensembl:lncRNA